rnacentral:tRNA from 1 species
GCCCCUGUAGCUCAGUCGGUUAGAGCCGCGGACUCAUAAUCCGUAGGUCGCGGGUUCGAGCCCCGCCGGGGGCACCG